CCUACGGGAGGCAGCAGUGGGGAAUUUUGGACAAUGGGCGCAAGCCUGAUCCAGCAAUGCCGCGUGAGUGAAGAAGGCCUUCGGGUUGUAAAGCUCUUUUGUCAGGGAAGAAACGGUGGAGGCUAAUAUCCUUUGCUAAUGACGGUACCUGAAGAAUAAGCACCGGCUAACUACGUGCCAGCAGCCGCGGUAAUACGUAGGGUGCAAGCGUUAAUCGGAAUUACUGGGCGUAAAGCGUGCGCAGGCGGUUUUGUAAGUUUGUCGUGAAAUCCCCGGGCUCAACCUGGGAAUGGCGAUGAAGACUGCAAGGCUAGAAUCUGGCAGAGGGGGGUUAGAAUUCCACGUGUAGCAGUGAAAUGCGUAGAGAUGUGGAGGAACACCGAUGGCGAAGGCAGCCCCCUGGGUCAAGAUUGACGCUCAUGCACGAAAGCGUGGGGAGCAAACAGGAUUAGAUACCCUGGUAGUCCACGCCCUAAACGAUGUCUACUAGUUGUCGGGUUUUAAUUAACUUGGUAACGCAGCUAACGCGUGAAGUAGACCGCCUGGGGAUACGGUCGCAAGNUUAAAACCUCAAAUGAGUAGAGNGNGAGAGNGCGAGACGACGACGAGGGAGGAGG
rnacentral:rRNA from 1 species